AAGCGUAUGGUGCAGUGGCUAGCACGUUUUGUUGAUGACGAAAAGACAUUUGUUCAAUUCAAAUUACGCUUA
rnacentral:tRNA from 1 species